UCGAGAAUAAUUCACAAUGGACGAAAGUCUGAUGGUGCAACGCCGCGUGGAGGAUGACGGUCUUCGGAUUGUAAACUCCUGUCAUCAGGGAGUAAGACCUGGAGGUUAAUAGCCUACAGGGUUGAUAGUACCUGAAGAGGAAGGGACGGCUAACUUCGUGCCAGCAGCCGCGGUAAUACGAAGGUCCCAAGCGUUGUUCGGAUUCACUGGGCGUAAAGGGAGCGUAGGCUGUGCGGUAAGUCAGAUGUGAAAUCCCGGGGCUCAACCCCGGAACUGCAUCCGAUACUGCCGUACUAGAGUAUUGGAGAGGUAACAGGAAUUCACGGUGUAGCAGUGAAAUGCGUAGAUAUCGUGAGGAAGACCAAUGGCGAAAGCAUGUUACUGGACAAUUACUGACGCUGAGGCUCGAAGGCUAGGGUAGCGAAAGGG
rnacentral:rRNA from 1 species